rnacentral:rRNA from 1 species
GUGGGGAAUAUUGGGCAAUGGGGGAAACCCUGACCCAGCGACGCCGCGUGAGGGAAGACGGCCUUCGGGUUGUAAACCUCUUUUGUACGGGAAGAAGGAAGUGACGGUACUGUACGAAUAAGUCCCGGCUAACUACGUGCCAGCAGCCGCGGUAAUACGAAGGGGACGAGCGUUGUCCGGAAUUACUGGGCGUAAAGGGCGCGCAGGCUGUGCUGCAAGUCAGCUGUAAAAUGUCUGGGCUUAACCCGGGCAUGCGGUUGAGACUGCAGUGCUGGAGAGCUGUAGAGGCAAGGGGAAUUCCCAGUGUAGCGGUGAAAUGCGUAGAUAUUGGGAAGAACACCGGUGGCGAAGGCGACUUGCUGGGCAGCAACUGACGCUGAGGCGCGAAAGCCAGGGGAGCAAACGGGAUUAGAUACCCGGGUAGUCC